GAGAUGCAAUGAAGAUAAUAAAUCAGCUUUAACGCCAGUUCUGCUUCUGAAUGUCAUUGAUUGAAAGAGCUGUUUAUUUUUCUGAGCAUCAC